GAGCCAGAGAGAGAUUGAGGGUUCUCUCAACUCUCCCCAUCUCUCUCACUUGAAAACUUGCUUCCAAAUCGCUCCCUACCAUCAGCAAUCCGACAAGAUCAUCCACGUGUCAAAAGCAUAACCUGGCAUUGCAACCUAUGAUUCUGUGUUAUGUACCACACUUCUCUGAGUGGUUUGGUUGUUUAUGACGAAGUAUUAAGAGAGUUUGGAAGAAAUAAUGGCAGCCAUUGCCGUUGCUUCACCAAAAUCCGCCAUUUUGCAGAACCCAAUCUCUCUCAGAGAACCAAGUUGGAGUCUUUUUGGUGGGUCCUUGAAGGGUCUUUGUUUACAAUUGAAACCCAGAAACAAGAACAGAGAAGAUGCCAUCAAUUUGGUGGUUGCUUCAACAAACUCCACCACCUCAGCAAACACCAGUAGAAGCAGAGGUGGUGGCCGCUUUUACAUCAACUUCACCGGGUUUCCUUUUCCUCUGGGUCCGUUUCUCAAUAGAAGCACCACUAGGACUGAGGCUGUGAAAGGCUGCAUAUGGUUGUUUGAACAAGAGCAAGCAUUAGGCUUCAGCAGUGUGUCAACAAACAUUAGAAUGACAGUCAUCAAACUUAAAUCUGGAGGACUGUGGGUUCAUGCCCCCAUCGCUCCAACCAAGGAGUGUAUUCAGCUUCUGAAAGAGUUGGGAGCUCCCGUAGAAUACAUAGUUCUGCCUACAUUUGCUUAUGAGCACAAAAUUUUUGUUGGUCCAUUUUCUAGGGAGUUCCCUCGAGCUCAGGUAUGGGUGGCACCAAGGCAGUGGAGUUGGCCUUUGAAUCUGCCACUGGAGUUUUUUGGUAUCUUUCGUGCUAAAACCUUAAAAGAUGAUGAUUUGUCCACCCCAUGGGCUUAUGAGAUUGAGCAGAAAGUUCUAAGUUCUCCAGAAGUUGGUAUUGGGCCAUAUGUAGAGGUAGCUUUCUAUCAUAAGCCUUCCAGAACUCUACUGGUUACGGAUGCGGUAAUUUUUGUGCCAAGACAGCCACCUGAUUGUAUUAGCAAAGAAUCCUUGUUGGCAUCCGCAAAGAAUGGUUUGGCUGUAAAACUUCUUAGUAAAGGAAAAGAAGUACCUCAAGAACCAGUAGUUGACAACAAGGCGAACCGUCAAAAAGGAUGGGAAAGAAUGGUUCUUCAAAUUCUUUUUCUUGGUCCAUCGAAUCUGUUGGAACCUAAUGCUAGCUUUGCUCAGAUGUCACAAAAGCUGAUUGUUUCACCCAUUGUAAAGACUCUGGUCUUCAGCAAAGUCCCUGAAAAGGUCAGGGAUUGGGUUGAUGGAAUUGUACGGGAGUGGAGGUUCAAGAGAAUAAUCCCCGCUCAUUUUGCUGCACCAAUCAAUGCAAGCAGGUCUGAUUUGUUAGCUGCAUUUGCAUUUCUGGAUGACCUUUUGGAUGAACGCUAUGUCACUCGGCCUUCACUCUCUCUUCUCUUCGCAUCACUUAUGGGAAAGGCUGCCAGCUACUUCCCUCCGGAUGACAUGAAGACUUUAUCAUCGCUUGAUAAGUUUUUGGUCUCGGUGGGAGCUGUGAAGAAGACUGUCUCAGGCCGGAAACGAUGACAUAACAUAGCAUGCAAAUGUGCCGGUCGAGGUUUCACCUGUUCAAUUUACGUACUCCUCUAUACUUCGGCUACAAAGGUUCUUUGGCCAAACAAAAAAGUUGUCAUGGGAUUCAAGUAGGCAAAAGCUUCAAGGAAAGUUAGCAGGAUAUACGACCAGUUGUUUCAACAGAAGGUGGAAAUUUUGUCCUGCAAUGGAUGACGUAAGGAUCAAUUGAUACGACUGAAAGAUACUAAUCAAUUCUUGAGCAUAAAAAAAUCUAGUUUUUCGUUGGAAGGUCAACUCCCCAACUAAGUUCUGCUACCAACUGCAUUUAGUUUUUGGAGAUUGAUUAUCAGCUGUCAAAGUAGGUUUCACAUAAAGUAUUAACUGAUAUGAGAUGAAAAGAAGAAAAGUUCUUGUGUCUUUUGCUGGCCCAGCAAUCAGUAAAGAACUGGCUUUGUAUAUUUUUUUUUUAUAAUUGCACUGUAGGAGCAAGCACGUCUAGAUCUCAACUUGUAAAAAAGUCUGAAGGUAGAUAGAUAGAUAGAGAGAGAGAGA